AUUGAACGCUGGCGGCAGGCCUAACACAUGCAAGUCGAGCGAGCGGCGGACGGGUGAGUAAUGUAUGGGGAACUGCCCGAUAGAGGGGGAUAACUACUGGAAACGGUAGCUAAUACCGCAUACUAUCAGAUGUGCCCAGAUGGGAUUAGCUAGUAGGUGGGGUAAUGGCUCACCAAGGCGACGAUCCCUAGCUGGUCUGAGAGGAUGAUCAGCCACACUGGAACUGAGACACGGCCCAGACGCCUACGGGAGGCAGCAGUGGGGAAUAUUGCACAAUGGGCGCAAGCCUGAUGCAGCCAUGCCGCGUGUAUGAAGAAGGCCUUCGGGUUGUAAAGUACUUUCAGUGGGGAGGCGUUACCCACAGAAGAAGCACCGGCUAACUCCGUGCCAGCCGCCGCGGUAAUAC
rnacentral:rRNA from 1 species